rnacentral:rRNA from 1 species
UACGGGGGGGGGCAAGCGUUGUUCGGAAUUACUGGGCGUAAAGGGCGCGUAGGCGGCCUGCUAAGUCGAACGUGAAAUCCCCGGGCUCAACCCGGGAACUGCGUCCGAUACUGGCAGGCUUGAAUCCGGGAGAGGGAUGCGGAAUUCCAGGUGUAGCGGUGAAAUGCGUAGAUAUCUGGAGGAACACCGGUGGCGAAGGCGGCAUCCUGGACCGGCAUUGACGCUGAGGAGCGAAAGCCAGGGGAGACAAAGCGGG